GUAGGUGGCAAGCGUUGUCCGGAAUUAUUGGGCGUAAAGCGCGCGCAGGCGGUUCUUUAAGUCUGAUGUGAAAGCCCACGGCUCAAUCGUGGAGGGUCAUUGGAAACUGGAGAACUUGAGUACAGAAGAGGAAAGCGGAAUUCCACGUGUAGCGGUGAAAUGCGUAGAGAUGUGGAGGAACACCAGUGGCGAAGGCGGCUUUCUGGUCUGUAACUGACGCUGAGGCGCGAAAGCGUGGGGGAGCAAACAGGAUUAGAUACCCUGGUAGUCCACGCCGUAAACGAUGAGUGCUAAGUGUUAGGGGGUUUCCGCCCCUUAGUGCUGCAGCUAACGCAUUAAGCACUCCGCCUGGGAGUACGGCCGCAAGGCUG
rnacentral:rRNA from 1 species